UACGAAGGGGGCUAGCGUUGCUCGGAAUCACUGGGCGUAAAGCGCACGUAGGCGGCUUCUUAAGUCAGGGGUGAAAUCCUGGAGCUCAACUCCAGAACUGCCUUUGAUACUGAGGAGCUUGAGUCCGGGAGAGGUGAGUGGAACUGCGAGUGUAGAGGUGAAAUUCGUAGAUAUCGGGAGGAACACCAGAGGCGAAGGCGGCCACCUGGACGAACACUGACGCUGAGACGCGAAAGCGUGGGGAGCAAACAGG
rnacentral:rRNA from 1 species